CACCGGCAACCGUACACAUGCGAGUCGAGCGGAACGAUGGGAGCUUGCUCCCAGGCGUCGAGCGGCGGACGGGUGAGUAAUGCAUAGGAAUCUGCCCGGUAGUGGGGGAUAACCUGGGGAAACUCAGGCUAAUACCGCAUACGUCCUACGGGAGAAAGCAGGGGAUCUUCGGACCUUGCGCUAUCGGAUGAGCCUAUGUCGGAUUAGCUAGUUGGUGAGGUAACGGCUCACCAAGGCCGCGAUCCGUAGCUGGUCUGAGAGGAUGAUCAGCCACAUCGGGACUGAGACACGGCCCGAACUCCUACGGGAGGCAGCAGUGGGGAAUAUUGGACAAUGGGCGAAAGCCUGAUCCAGCCAUGCCGCGUGUGUGAAGAAGGCCCUCGGGUUGUAAAGCACUUUCAGUGAGGAAGAACGCUUGUGGGUUAAUACCCCGCAAGAAGGACAUCACUCACAGAAGAAGCACCGGCUAACUCCGUGCCAGCAGCCGCGGUAAUACGGAGGGUGCGAGCGUUAAUCGGAAUUACUGGGCGUAAAGCGCGCGUAGGCGGCUUGAUAAGCCGGUUGUGAAAGCCCCGGGCUCAACCUGGGAACGGCAUCCGG
rnacentral:rRNA from 1 species